rnacentral:lncRNA from 1 species
CAUCAAUCCCCCCCACCCUUUGGGGGCUUUGAGAAAAUGAAGGCACAGGUUGGAUUUUAUAUAGAGUUCUAGGUAGAGAAAGAGGAAGACUUGCAUAAUGCUGGAUGUGAGUUAAUGGCCUGAGAUGAUCUAAGGUUUGAAGAUGAGAUUCAGGGUCUCAGCAAGGCUUGGAGCUGGAGAAAUAAUUCCUAGCUAUUGAAAUAAGUAAAAGGUCUGGUCUAUUGAAAUUCAAAGUCUGUGUAAGUCUAAUUGAACUAUUCAAAGGAUCCAGUAGUGAAGCUCUUCUCCUACUCGUGGUAGAGCAGAACAUGGAGGAAAAGAGAGAGAGGCUUUUGGGGUUUUAGAGAGAGAAUAUUCAAAUUGUUUUGCUUCUUAGAACGAGAAGAAGAAGAAAGAAAUAUGAAGUUUGAGAAGAUCUAGAGACACUAGAGAGAGAAGAAGAAUUGGGAAAUUUUAGCUUGGGUUAAAAAGGAAAAGAGUUUUGGUCUUGCGUACGGGGUAUUCCAAGUGUUUGAUAAAAGGUUGAGGUGAUGGCUUCUCUUGGGUGGUUACUAUGGGUAAAAGUCAAGUAAAAAGUUACUAAUGGUUUGAGAGUUUGCCUGUGAGAAAACUAUUUUUCAUCGAAGUUUGAGUGAAUUUUCAAUACCUACGGGGGAGAGAGAAGUGAUGGAGGCAGAAGAAGUUAAGAAUAGAGUAAAGCGUCAUUCCUAUGCUCAAAUUCUUCACUCUUCUACUAAGUUUGAUCAUCGUGUUGAUCCAGUGAUUAUGGUUGGUGAUAAUGUUGUCAAAGAUAGACUCCAACGUAUCCAACCUAGUGUUGUCAAAUAUUUUAUCUUUAAAGGUACAUACAUUGCGGGUUGUUAGAUAUGGGUGGACAAAUCCUAGACUUUGACCCCUAGCCUAUGUAGAAGUAUCCCAUGACAGAAAUGUCUUUGGCUAUCUAGAGUGAGAACUUGCGUUGGGAUGGAAAUAUCUUUCAGCAACAUAUGGAAGUAGUAGAGCCUAUGGAAAUGGCAGGUGGUGAAAACAAUGAGGAAGAUGAAGAACUGGUCAUGGCAAUCCCCUUGGCCUAUCACUUACUAGAUGAGCCCCUAGAUGAUGAAG